AGAUAAUGGUGAGGGCAAUUUCUUAGUAUACCCUUAAAUCUAUCCUAAGCUUGGUAGAGAUUCUAUCCUUCUUUCUGUCUAAAACUCAAGAUCUCAUUCCUCAAGCG
rfam:Capsicum annuum cultivar Zunla-1 chromosome 2, whole genome shotgun sequence